rnacentral:rRNA from 1 species
GACGAACGCUGGCGGCGUGCUUAACACAUGCAAGUCGAACGGUGAAGGGGUCUGCUUUUGUGGGCCCUGGAUGAGUGGCGCACGGGUGAGUAACACGUGAGUAACCUGCCCCCUUCUUCUGGAUAACCGCAUGAAAGUGUGGCUAAUACGGGAUAUUCUGGGUCUGUCGCAUGAUGGGUCUGGGAAAGAUUGCGCCUUUGGGUGUUUUUGGUGGGGGAUGGGCUCGCGGCCUAUCAGCUUGUUGGUGGGGUGAUGGCCUACCAAGGCGGUGACGGGUAGCCGGCCGGAGAGGGUGGACGGUCACACUGGGACUGAGACACGGCCCAGACUCGUACGGGAGGCAGCAGUGGGGAAGAUUGCACAAUGGGCGCAAGCCUGAUGCAGCGACGCCGCGUGAGGGAUGGAGGCCUUCGGGGUGUAAACCUCUUUCGCCAGUGAAGCAGGCCUGCUACUUGUGGGUGGGUUGACGGUAGCUGGAUAAGAAGCGCCGGCUAACUACGUG